rnacentral:tRNA from 1 species
GGUCCGUUGGCAGAAUUGGCAUUGCGUCUGACUACGAAUCAGGAGAUUCUGGGUUCGAUCCCCAGGCGGACCU